rfam:Clostridiales bacterium 42_27 Ley3_66761_scaffold_397, whole genome shotgun sequence.
AUAAUGAUACUUCCGCCCAGUCAAAAGUCGAGCGUGAUAAAACCGUCGCAACCAAAGAUGGCGGCCGUGGGAGAUCCUCACGGUGGUGAAAUUCCAAUGG